rnacentral:rRNA from 1 species
UACAGAGGGUGCAAGCGUUGUUCGGAAUUACUGGGCGUAAAGCGUGCGUAGUCGGUAUUGAGAGUCAUUGGUGAAAUCCCCGGGCUUAACCUGGGAACUGCAUUUGUGACUGCAUGGCUAGAGUGCGGCAGAGGGGGAUGGAAUUCCGCGUGUAGCAGUGAAAUGCGUAGAUAUGCGGAGGAACACCGAUGGCGAAGGCAAUCCCCUGGGCCUGCACUGACGCUCAUGCACGAAAGCGUGGGGAGCAAACAGG